CCUACGGGAGGCAGCAGUGGGGAAUAUUGCACAAUGGGCGAAAGCCUGAUGCAGCGACGCCGCGUGAGGGACGACGGCCUUCGGGUUGUAAACCUCUUUCAGCAGGGACGAAGCGCAAGUGACGGUACCUGCAGAAGAGGCACCGGCUAACUACGUGCCAGCAGCCGCGGUAAUACGUAGGGUGCAAGCGUUGUCCGGAAUUACUGGGCGUAAAGAGUUCGUAGGCGGUUUGUCACGUCGUUUGUGAAAACUCACAGCUCAACUGUGAGCCUGCAGGCGAUACGGGCAGACUUGAGUACUGCAGGGGAGACUGGAAUUCCUGGUGUAGCGGUGAAAUGCGCAGAUAUCAGGAGGAACACCGGUGGCGAAGGCGGGUCUCUGGGCAGUAACUGACGCUGAGGAACGAAAGCGUGGGUAGCAAACAGGAUUAGAUACCCUGGUAGUCCACGCCGUAAACGGUGGGCGCUAGGUGUGGGUUCCUUCCACGGAAUCCGUGCCGUAGCUAACGCAUUAAGCGCCCGCCUGGGGNGACGCGCGAGACAACUAACAGAGUAGNGNGNGAGAGNGCGAGCGACGACGAGGGAGAG
rnacentral:rRNA from 1 species